rfam:Gossypium arboreum cultivar AKA8401 contig_44317_3, whole genome shotgun sequence.
AUUUCAUGAUAAGGGCAUCUUCAUAAUAGUUCUUUAAACCUUUCCCACACCUCAUAUAAGGACUUGCCAUCCAUUUGUUGGAAGCUAGUGAUCUUGUUCUGCAACU